CCCCCGGUAGCUCAGCGGUAGAGCUUCCGGCUGUAGACCGGAGGGCCCCGGGUUCAAGUCCCGGCCGGGGGACCA
rnacentral:tRNA from 1 species